rnacentral:lncRNA from 1 species
CCAAUCAGGAGACAGUAAAGUACAUCAAACAGAAGCUGAAUGAAAAGGGUCUGUCUGCAGAGAGGAGCCUGAACCUGCUCCACUGUCUGAACGAACUGAACGACCGCAGUCUGAUGGAGGAGAUACAGAGGAUCAUGAAGAAACGACUUCUCUCCUCGUUAACUUCUCCUGCUCACUGGUCUGCUCUGUCCCUUCUCUUACUGUCUUCAGACUCAGACCUGAUGGAGUUUGACCUCAGGAAAUACUGUUCCUCAGAGACAGCUCUCCUGAAGCUGCUGCCAGUCGUCAAAGUCUCCACCAAAGCCAUGUGAGUCCAGACUGUAUUUAAACACUUGUGUCAUGGCUCUAGUCUCUAAUCGUCCUCUCUGUCCUCAGUCUGAGCGGCUGUGGCCUGUCUCCUCUCAGCUGUGCUCCUCUGGCCUCAGUCCUCAGCUCCUCCAGUCUGACUCACCUGGAUCUCAGUAACAACGACCUCCAUGACUCAGGAGUGGAGCUGCUGUGUUCUGGACUGAAGAGCGCCCCCUGCAGACUGCACACCCUCAGGUGAGACGCUCCCAUGAUGCACUCUGUCUCUGUGUCCACAUUAGAGGCUAAUGCUGUGUGUCUUUAGUCUGUCUGGAUGUCUGGUCUCAGAGAGGGGCGGGGCUUCUCUGGCCUCAGCUCUGAGCUCCGCCCCCUUCCACCUGAGAGAGUUAGACCUGAGCUACAAUCAUCCAGGACCCUCCACCGAGCUCCUGACCGCUCUACGGGCCCCUCAGGGGCCCCUGCACUCUCUCAGGCUGGAUCCUGCUGGAGAACAGUGGAUGGUCCCAGGUCUGAUGAAGUGUGAGUAUUCCCAGUUUAUUUAUGCCUAUAGGCCUACUUAUUACAGCUCAUUAUGUAAACAAAAAAUAACAGCAGAACUCCUCAGACUCACAGGAACAGGAAGUGAUGUCAUGAGUUGUUUGUUUCCUCAGAUUCCUGUGAGUUUUCUCUGGAUCCAAACACAGCUCAGAGGAACCUCCUUCUGUCUGAGGACAAACGGACUGUGACCAGAAAGAGAAAGGAGCAGCAGUAUCCAGAUCAUGAGGACAGGUUCAUGGUCCAGCCUCAGGUCCUGAGCUCCACUGGCCUGAGGGGGCGCUGUUACUGGGAGGUGCAGUGGAGGGGGAGUGGAGAGUUGAUAUAGCAGUGAGUUACAGAGGAAUCAGACGGAGAGGAUACAAAGAGGAGAGUAGGUUUGGAGACAAUGAUCAGUCCUGGAGUCUGAGGAUCAAUGGUGGAGUUUACUCUGUCUGUCACAACAAGAGAGAAACACCCCUCUUUCCCUCCUCCUCCUCCCCUCGCUCUCGCUCAGCUGUAGUGGGCGUGUUCCUGGACUCUGAGGCUGGAGCGCUGUCCUUCUAUGAGGUCCGCUCUGGUGGAAAACUG